rnacentral:rRNA from 1 species
CCUACGGGAGGCAGCAGUGGGGAAUAUUGCUCAAUGGGGGAAACCCUGAAGCAGCGACGCCGCGUGAGUGAUGAAGGUUUUCGGAUUGUAAACUCCUUUUAUUAGAGAAGAAAAUGACCGGAUCUAACGAAUGAGGACCGGCUAAAUCAGGGCCAGCAGUCGCGGUAAUAAGGUGGGGGCAAGCGUUACUCGGAAUCACUGGGGGGAAAGGGGGCGGUAGCGGGUUAGCAAGGCUGAUGUGAAAACCUAGGGCUUAACCCUAGGACUGCUUUUGAAACUGUUAUUCUAGAGUAUGGGAGAGGUAGGUGGAAUUCUUGGUGUAGGGGUAAAAUCCGUAGAUAUUAAGAGGAACACUCAUUGCGAAGGCGACCUGCUAGAACAUAACUGACGCUGAUGCGCGAAAGCGUGGGGAGCAAACAGGAUUAGAUACCCCUGUAGUC